AACGUGCCUUUAGGUUCGGAAUAGCUCCUGGAAACGGGUGGUAAUGCCGAAUGUGCCCUUCGGGGGAAAGAUUUAUCGCCUUUAGAGCGGCCCGCGUCUGAUUAGCUAGUUGGUGAGGUAAUGGCUCACCAAGGCGACGAUCAGUAGCUGGUCUGAGAGGAUGACCAGCCACAUUGGGACUGAGACACGGCCCAAACUCCUACGGGAGGCAGCAGUGGGGAAUCUUGCGCAAUGGGCGAAAGCCUGACGCAGCCAUGCCGCGUGAAUGAUGAAGGUCUUAGGAUUGUAAAAUUCUUUCACCGGGGACGAUAAUGACGGUACCCGGAGAAGAAGCCCCGGCUAACUUCGUGCCAGCA
rnacentral:rRNA from 1 species